CACAACAUCUGAAACCCCACCCCAAAAGAGGAUUCAGAAGGUUGUUUUGAGAGAAGGAAAAUUGCAGACAACAGGGAAGACUUCUCCAUCAUGAAAGCUUUAAGUUAGGAGAAAAAGGGAGACGAAAGACCAUUGGAAGGAUGCAGACCAGCAGCCUCCGUCCCCUUAACUGGCUGAGCUGCUGGUUUGAGCUAUCUUCUGCAGCUUACAGAAAAUCAAGCUUCUCCCCAAAGAAGAAAUGAAGAUAACUACCCAAAAGGCCGAUGGCUUUACAGCUUGGCAGACAUUGGAAUCCCCUGGAGAACUCUUUUUUUGACACCUGGUGAGGUCUGUGGAGAGAAACCUGCAAGGGAGUGUGAAUCUUCCCUUGUUUUUUUUUUUGCCCCUGGAAACCACCAUUCAACUUUCUGUCUCUGUGAAUUUCACUGUUCUAUGUACCUCAUUUUCGAACUCUCCAGACCUGGCUAAUUACAAAUGACGUGUAUGCACAAAAGGUUAUCAUGGAGCUGCGGUUCACCUUCCAGUGAUGAUCAUCCCACAGCCCCAACCCACACCCUCCACCAACACACAAUUUUAUACACAUAGUGCACACAUACCCCACACCACAAAAUUACCCUCACACACAUGCACCACACAGAGCCCAGACCACACAUUCCUAUACACCACAUGCAUGCAACGCACAUACCAGACACACACAUACACCCGACACACUACACACACCACACACACCCCACACCCCACAACACACCACACACACGCAGUCUGCAGGCUGUCUGGAGGCUGCUGCUGCUAUCCAGAGAGACGUGGUGAAAAGACUAAGCUUUUAGGGACCAUGCAGGCUCAGAAACGGACAAGAGGAAAGAGCUGCGACAAGCAGAUUACUGACACAAUACUUUCUCUGGCCAGCCAAUGCACUUCAUUGUGAAAUAUCAGAAAUGGAUGUUAUGAUACCAUUUAUUUAGAUAAAGCUGAAAACUGAUGGGACUAUGCAGCUUGGAUUUCAUUAGACUCACCAUUUUUAUAGUAUCAUUCACGUGAAAUUCAGAUCUAUAGGCAAACUUGUUCAUAUGAG
rnacentral:lncRNA from 1 species